GAGCUUGCUCCAGGGGAUUAGUGGCGAACGGGUGAGUAACACGUGAGUAACCUGCCCUUGACUCUGGGAUAACCUCCGGAAACGGAAGCUAAUACCGGAUACGACGCACGGAGGCAUCUCCUGUGCGUGGAAAGAACUUCGGUCAAGGAUGGACUCGCGGCCUAUCAGGUAGUUGGUGAGGUAACGGCUCACCAAGCCUACGACGGGUAGCCGGCCUGAGAGGGUGACCGGCCACACUGGGACUGAGACACGGCCCAGACUCCUACGGGAGGCAGCAGUGGGGAAUAUUGCACAAUGGGCGCAAGCCUGAUGCAGCAACGCCGCGUGAGGGAUGACGGCCUUCGGGUUGUAAACCUCUUUUAGUAGGGAAGAAGCGAAAGUGACGGUACCUGCAGAAAAAGCACCGGCUAACUACGUGCCAGCAGCCGCGGUAAUACGUAGGGUGCGAGCGUUGUCCGGAAUUAUUGGGCGUAAAGAGCUCGUAGGCGGUCUGUCGCGUCUGCUGUGAAAACCCGAGGCUCAACCUCGGGCCUGCAGUGGGUACGGGCAGACUAGAGUGCGGUAGGGGAGAAUGGAAUUCCUGGUGUAGCGGUGGAAUGCGCAGAUAUCAGGAGGAACACCGAUGGCGAAGGCAGUUCUCUGGGCCGUAACUGACGCUGAGGAGCGAAAGCGUGGGGAGCGAACAGGAUUAGAUACCCUGGUAGUCCACGCCGUAAACGUUGGGCGCUAG
rnacentral:rRNA from 1 species